rnacentral:rRNA from 1 species
UACGAGGGGGGCUAGCGUUGCUCGGAAUCACUGGGCGUAAAGGGCGCGUAGGCGGCGCGGCCCGUCGGGCGUGAAAUCCCCGGGCUCAACCCGGGGCCGGCGCCCGGGACUGCCGCGCUGGAGGACGGGAGAGGGCCGCGGAAUUCCCAGUGUAGAGGUGAAAUUCGUAGAUAUUGGGAAGAACACCGGUGGCGAAGGCGGCGGCCUGGCCCGUGCCUGACGCUGAGGCGCGACAGCGUGGGGAGCAAACAGG